rnacentral:rRNA from 1 species
GCUAGUAGGCGUCGAGUGGCGGACGGGUGAGUAACGCGUAGGAAUCUGGCUGAUGGUGGGGGAUAGCCCGAAUAAAUUCGGAUUAAUACCGCAUAAUCUAUUCGUAGUAAAGUGAGGGACUUUCGAGCCUCACUCUAUCAGAUGAGCCUGCGUAAGAUUAGCUUGUUGGUAGGGUAAAAGCCUACCAAGGCAACUAUCUUUAGCUGGUCUGAGAGGAUGAUCAGCCACAUCGGGACUGACACACGGCCCGAACUCCUACGGGAGGCAGCAGUGGGGAAUAUUGGACAAUGGGGGCCACCCUGAUCCAGCAAUACCGCGUGUGUGAAGAAGGCCUGAGGGUUGUAAAGCACUUUCAAUUGUGAAAAAAAGUCAACGGUUAAUAACCGUUGACCUUGACGUUAACUUUAGAAGAAGCACCGGCUAACUCCGUGCCAGCAGCCGCGGUAAUACGGAGGGUGCAAGCGUUAAUCGGAAUUACUGGGCGUAAAGCGUGCGUA